UACAGAGGGUGCGAGCGUUGUUCGGAAUUAUUGGGCGUAAAGGGCGCGUAGGCGGUGCGGUAAGUCACCUGUGAAAUCUCCUGGCUCAACUGGGAGCUUGCAGGCGAAACUGCCGUGCUGGAGUGUGGGAGAGGUGAGUGGAAUUCCCGGUGUAGCGGUGAAAUGCGUAGAUAUCGGGAAGAACACCGGUGGCGAAGGCGGCUCUCUGGGCCUGUCCUGACGCUCAGGCGCGAAAGCUAGGGGAGCGAACAGG
rnacentral:rRNA from 1 species